AAAGCCGGUCAUUCUCAGAAGGUCCGGUUCCUUUGGAGACUUUUUUUCUUUUUAGAAGAACCACAUUUACCCCAGGUAGAAGUCCUGUUGGAAGGUAUUUGUAAAAUGCAGAGCCAUCUCUAUGGGGACACCCUCAGCUGGACUUCAUGUCUCACGGACACUGGUCAGCAACACAGAGCAGAACUCUGACCCCACGCAGCUGAUGGAAUAUUCUCCCUACCUCCUCCCCAAGGCCAUCUUUUCUCAAGGCGUCGGAAGACAUCCUAUCACCCCUCACCCCAGACUGGGGAGGCAGCAGGAAGGCAGGCCCCGUCUGUGAGGCACCCGGGCCUUGAAUCGGGAGCAGAGAGACCCCUGGGCACCCCGUGAGACAACAGCAAGACCAGAAGGGACUCUGCGCCCUGCCUCAAAGGCACGCCAGGCCAGCCGGCCCAGAACGUUGUAGCUGGGAUGGCGUUGGCUCCAAGAGCAGAAUUUGGCAGUGAAGCGAUGCCAGGUUAAGAGAAGCAUUAUCAGCCGCUUCAAAUAGAAAAGCCAAUUAAGUUAAUCUGAGUUAAUUGCCUCGUUUUCAUUCAAAACAUUAAAUAAAAGUAAAGCUCUGAGCAUUUAUUCUGCU